UGGGGAAUAUUGGACAAUGGGCGCAAGCCUGAUCCAGCAAUGCCGCGUGUGUGAAGAAGGCCUGCGGGUUGUAAAGCACUUUAAGCAGGAAAGAAGGGGCGGAGGCUAAUAUCCUUUGUCAUUGACGUUACCUGCAGAAUAAGCACCGGCUAACUCCGUGCCAGCAGCCGCGGUAAUACGGAGGGUGCGAGCGUUAAUCGGAAUUACUGGGCGUAAAGCGCGCGUAGGCGGUCGACUCAGUCCGCUGUGAAAGCCCUGGGCUCAACCUGGGAACUGCAGUGGAUACUGGUGGACUAGAGUGUGGUAGAGGGUAGUGGAAUUUCCGGUGUAGCAGUGAAAUGCGUAGAGAUCGGAAGGAACACCAGUGGCGAAGGCGACUAUCUGGACCAACACUGACGCU
rnacentral:rRNA from 1 species